rnacentral:rRNA from 1 species
UACGUAGGGACCGAGCGUUGUCCGGAAUCAUUGGGCGUAAAGAGCGUGUAGGCGGCUCGCUAAGUCUUGCGUGAAAUCUCGGGGCUCAACCCCGAGCGGUCGUGAGAAACUGGCGGGCUAGAGUGCGGGAGAGGAGAGUGGAAUUCCUGGUGUAGCGGUGAAAUGCGCAGAUAUCAGGAAGAACACCCGUGGCGAAGGCGGCUCUCUGGGACGGUACUGACGCUGAGACGCGAAAGCGUGGGGAGCGAACAGG